rnacentral:rRNA from 1 species
UACGUAGGGUGCGAGCGUUAAUCGGAAUUACUGGGCGUAAAGCGUGCGCAGGCGGUUCGUCAAGUCUGAUGUGAAAGCCCCGGGCUCAACCUGGGAAUGGCAUGGGAAACUGGCGAGCUGGAGUGCGGCAGAGGGGGGUGGAAGUCCGCGUGUAGCAGUGAAAUGCGUAGAGAUGCGGAGGAACACCGAUGGCGAAGGCAGCCCCCUGGGCCGACACUGACGCUCAGGCACGAAAGCGUGGGGAGCAAACAGG